ACCGAGUUGAUCCUGCC
rnacentral:rRNA from 1 species